ensembl:antisense
AGACAUUUCAUUUACCCUUGAACUAGAAACAUAAACUAGUGUUUGAUGUUGGGAAAUAAAGAAUUCAAGAAGGAGGCAAAUACUUGAUAUGCUUUAUUUCAACUUUGCAUCAGCUUUAUAUGAGAACUGAGAACUGCCCACCCACUGAGCUCCUAAAGAGCCUACUUUGCAACUCAAUCUAAUUGAACCAAGCAACAGAACCCAGUCUCUUUUCAGGAACUCAGUAACCAGUCGCUGCUAUCAGGUAUAGUUGUCACUGGAACAAGAGUCCUGAAUAUGGAAAGAAUGACCGAGGGGCACUGUCUUGGUGGGACUCCACAGAAAACGUAAGAUAGUAUUCGGCAUGGUAAGCAACAUACAGCAUCAAGCAUAUUAGCGCUAUAAGUUUUAUCUUUUGAAGGCUGUUGAUUGCAAUUGUGAAAAAAGGAUACAGGCUAGAAUGAGUAAGAGUUGUCCCAACACUGAUAUCAGUUAGGGGUUGACAGUGGAAAAUGUGACUUGCAAAUUCUAAAAAGGCAUUUGUCCACAGUCAAGAACUGCAUCAG